rnacentral:rRNA from 1 species
CCGAUCCCCGGCUGGCUGCCUCUUCCGUCUUUCCUUCGCGGGGUGAGUCCCUUUCCUCCGCGUCGGACCGAGUCGGUGGGCGAAGGUCUUUUUUCAUCCUGUUCGGCAGGAGGGGCGCAGGCCCGGGACUUGCCUUAGACGCCGCCUGUCCCCCGACGCUCGCCCUUUCCUAGGGCGUGCCGAGUGGGGGCGAGCGUGCAGUCGGCAAGUACCAUGAGCAGGCAUGUUAGGACCCGAAAGAUGGUGAACUAUGCCUGGCCAGGAUGAAGCCAGAGGAAACUCUGGUGGAGGUCCGUAGCGAUUCUGACGUGCAAAUCGAUCGUCGGAGCUGGGUAUAGGGGCGAAAGACUAAUCGAACCAUCUAGUAGCUGGUUCCCUCCGAAGUUUCCCUCAGGAUAGCUGGAACUCGCCAUGAGAUGAAUUUCAUCCGGUAAAGCGAAUGAUUAGAGGUCUUGGGGACGAAACGUCCUCAACCUAUUCUCAAACUUUAAAUGGGUGAGAUGCCGAGCUUGCUUAAAAGAUGAAGCCUCGGCGACGAAUCCGAGUUCCUAGUGGGCCACUUUU